CGCGUUACGGAAGAACUUGUGCGGUGGCCCUUAUGGAAAAGCUUGUGCGGUGGCCCUUAUGCCGGGAUUACGAUGAACUUGACAUAACGGGACGCGACGGGACGUGAAGUAAGGGCCACCGCUGAUUCUAAAACUAAACUCGUACGUAAUCUUAAACUUCAGUCAACGCACAAACAAAAUUGUAACGUAGUAUGCUUUUGUUACGUUACGAUUUUCUCUGUGCGUUGACUGAAGUUUAAGAUUACGUAUGAGUUUAGGUUUAGGUUUAGGUUUAGGAUCAGUACUUAACGUAACGUAAUGCAUUACGGAAAAGCUUGUGCGAUGGCCCUAACGUAACGUGAACUUAACGCUUGAGGUACAACUGUCGAAUUACGAUCGGCGUAACGUGCCGUGAAGCACUGCGUUUGACAGCUGUGGUGUAGAAGUUCGUUUUUGUUGUCAUUCUCGAAAUGAAUUCUGCUGUGAGGCAUUAAAACUGUAUUCAAACUGUAAUACACGCGUUACACCAUAAAUUCCUUAAGAAUAUAUAUUAAUGUUUUUACAUUAAAUAAAUAUCUUAUAUAAGUAAAAGAGUAAUCACGAUUUUUUUUGGACAUAUUCAAAAUGAUCCUGACAACAUAGUGUGCUGUUUGGAAAAAUAUCCAAUUCAUAUUUAGAUUGCAUAAAAAAUAUACGGAUUCACGAAAACAAGUUUUCUAUAUCAUUUAUGUAAUGAUUUCACAUUAUAUUUGUAGUGAUUAAUGUAAAUUUCUUUUUUCUAGUUAAGAAAACCCAGGAGAAGAUAUAAAUGGUAAUAUAUAUUGUAUUUAAAUCAGUAAGGUAAAUACUCUAUUCGCUACAAAACCAUACAAAAUGAGAUUUUCUUGCAGUAAAACUCGUGCUAUUUUUUUUUCUUUCUAUUCAUGAUUUGUAAACUUAUUCAGCAACAAGGCAAACUUGAAUCUGACAACAAAUUAAAACAUUUAAACAAUAAAAAUAAAAUAUAGUUACCUAUGUUAUAUUAUGGCUGCUUUCUCAUAUUCAUUGUCAGUAUUGAAAAUCUAGUGUACAUGACAUAAACUAUAGAUUUUCUACUGGCAGUGAAUAUAGGAAUGCAACCUAUAUUUAAUACAGUUAAGAGAAAAACUUCACACCAAAAAUAUAAUAUACCUCCUUUACAAAUGUUAUAAUUAUCAAUUAUUAAUUAUACCUUUAUUAUCAAAAAUGUAUUAUUAUCCACAAGAUGUUAAAUCAAAACUAAUAAGUGGUAUUAUAUAUUAUUAUAAGUGGUUUUAUAUAUCUAAGUAUACGUGGAAAUGUUACAUCCACUUUACUAAAAUUGUAAAUUGUAAAACAUAUAUUUAAAUUUAUUUAUUAAGAGAUAGAAAAAAUAAUGCAAAACAUUUAUUUUUGAUAAAUUUCUUGUUAAUAUAUAAUUAACAUAUAAGAAUAAUACUUGCGCUAAUAAGUAUCAUAGAGAAAUAGUAUUAAGAGAUGUUUCAAUUAUUUUUAUAUUUAAUAAAAAUUCUUGUUAUUAUUAAUCUUUGUAAUUAUAAAUGUCAAUGAAUAUUGCAAAAUAUAUAGAACUUA